rnacentral:rRNA from 1 species
GAUGAACGCUGACAGAAUGCUUAACACAUGCAAGUCAACUGUGGCGGACGGGUGAGUAACGCGUAAAGAACUUGCCUCACAGCUAGGGACAACAUUUGGAAACGAAUGCUAAUACCUGAAACUGUGAGAGAGCUUUGCGUCCCAUUAGCUAGUUGGAGAGGUAACGGCUCACCAAGGCGAUGAUGGGGAGCCGGCCUGAGAGGGUGAUCGGCCACAAGGGGACUGAGAGACGGCCCUUACUGCAACGGGGAGAAUGAGCGGGGAAUGUUGGCAAAUGGACCGAAGUCUGAUGCAGCAAUGCUGUGUGCAAGAUGAAGUUUUCGGAAAGUAAAGUGCUUUCAGAAGGGAAGCGGUACCAACAGAAGAAGGGACGGCUAAAUACGUGCCAGCAGCCGCGGUAAUUC